ensembl:lncRNA CYP1B1-AS1 CYP1B1 antisense RNA 1
GAAGGAGGGCAGCGCGACCUGGCAGGGCGGGGCCUGCGGGGGGCGGGGCGCGCCGCACACCAGGCCGCUUUGACCCGGACUCCCGUCCAGGCGCACCGGCCGGCCUCGGAGCUCUACCAGCAGGCUUUCAUGGGAGCGGAGGUGCCCACGUUUCCAUUGUGCGGUAACCGCGCUUCAUCACAGCCACCUCCAAUCGAGGCCGCACGGUGUCCCCAGAACCACGCUCGGUACAACCUGCCCCGGCCGCUGCGCUCGACUUGGGAGCGCGCCCCGCCCCGAGCGCACGACCUCCCUUCCCUCUCCGCGACUUGAGCUUGCUUCCCGGAAAGCCAGUGUAGUGGCAGCGGUUUGCCUCACAGCGCCCCUGUGGUCUCAAAUAGUCAAGACCCCCUGCUGGGAGGAGCUUCUAUCCUGCUCUGUGGAAGAAAUGGGCAUGCCAGAUGCCUGGAAGAUCAGAGGCUCACAUUCCAGCUGUAGGUGGCCCACCAGGUGUCAACAACUGUAGAGUUCCAUCAAGAGUCAUCAUUUUACAGUUACAAGUCGGAGGGGCCUUCACAGAUCCGUCAGGCUCAACACUGCCUCCUUAGUGAGCCUGUGAACCACCCAAGACGGCUGGUCAUCAGUGUCAUCCUCUUCCUUUUCCGGACAACUAUCUUUAAAAGAAAAAAAAAGAGUGUCUUUGAAUGUAUCCAUUUUAUCCCCAAAUAAUCUUGUUUAAUAAAUUCCUUAUUAGGCCAAA